GCCAGGUGUGGUGGCGCAUGCCUGUAAUCCCAGUGACUCAAGAGGCUGAGGCAGGUGGAUUCCAAAAUUGAACAUAGCUUCAGCAACUUGUUGAGGCCCUGAGCAACUCAGCAAGACCUUGUCUCUA
rnacentral:sRNA from 1 species